GUUAUUAGUUAUAGCGUUGGAUGCCAUCUUUUCCACCUAAUAAAGCCUUUUGCUUUGUGUCUUCAGUGGAGAAUCUGGUGCUGGGAAAACUGUUAACACCAAGAGAGUCAUUCAGUACUUCGCCAGCAUUGCAGCUGGAGGUGGGAAAAAGGACACAGGCUCUGAGAAAAAGGGUACAUUGGAGGAUCAAAUCAUCCAAUGCAACCCGGCAUUAGAGGCCUUUGGGAAUGCAAAAACCAUCAGAAAUGAUAACUCUUCCAGAUUUGGAAAAUUUAUCCGUAUUCAUUUUGCAGCCAGUGGAAAGCUGGCUUCAGCUGAUAUUGAGACAUAUCUGCUAGAGAAGUCCAGAGUAACCUUUCAGCUUAA